UGAGACCUCACGUCAGGCGGGGCUACCCGCUGAAUUUAAGCAUAUCA
rnacentral:rRNA from 1 species